AACGUAGGAGACAAACGUUAUCCGGAGUUACUGGGCGUAAAGGGCGUGUAGGCGGACUGUUAAGUCUGGCGUGAAAGCUCCCGGCUAAACCGGGAGAGGUCGUUGGAUACUGGCAGACUAGAGGGUGGUAGAGGCGUGUGGAAUUCCGGGUGUAGUGGUGAAAUGCGUAGAGAUCCGGAGGAACACCAGUGGCGAAGGCGGGUCUCUGGGCAGUAACUGACGCUGAGGAGCGAAAGCGUGGGGAGCGAACAGG
rnacentral:rRNA from 1 species